UACGUAGGGGGCAAGCGUUAUCCGGAUUUACUGGGUGUAAAGGGAGCGUAGACGGCCAGACAAGUCUGAAGUGAAAAUCCAGCGCUUAACGUUGGAAGUGCUUUGGAAACUGCCGGGCUGGAGUGCAGGAGGGGCAGGCGGAAUUCCUAGUGUAGCGGUGAAAUGCGUAGAUAUUAGGAGGAACACCAGUGGCGAAGGCGGCUUACUGGACGGCAACUGACGCUGAGGCUCGAAAGCGUGGGGAGCAAACAGG
rnacentral:rRNA from 1 species